UACGUAGGUGGCGAGCGUUGUCCGGAUUUACUGGGCGUAAAGGGAGCGUAGGCGGACUUUUAAGUGAGAUGUGAAAUACUCGGGCUCAACUUGAGUGCUGCAUUUCAAACUGGAAGUCUAGAGUGCAGGAGAGGAGAAUGGAAUUCCUAGUGUAGCGGUGAAAUGCGUAGAGAUUAGGAAGAACACCAGUGGCGAAGGCGAUUCUCUGGACUGUAACUGACGCUGAGGCUCGAAAGCGUGGGUAGCGAACAGG
rnacentral:rRNA from 1 species